AACGAACGCUGGCGGCAGGCUUAACACAUGCAAGUCGAGCGCCUCGCAAGAGGAGAGGCAGACGGGUGAGUAACGCGUGGGAACGUACCCUUAUCUUCGGAAUAGCUCUGGGAAACUGGAAGUAAUACCGAAUGUGCCCUUAGGGGGAAAGAUUUAUCGGAUAAGGAUCGGCCCGCGUUGGAUUAGCUAGUUGGUGGGGUAAAGGCCUACCAAGGCGACGAUCCAUAGCUGGUCUGAGAGGAUGAUCAGCCACAUUGGGACUGAGACACGGCCCAAACUCCUACGGGAGGCAGCAGUGGGGAAUAUUGGACAAUGGGCGCAAGCCUGAUCCAGCCAUGCCGCGUGAGUGAUGAAGGCCUUAGGGUUGUAAAGCUCUUUCACCGGAGAAGAUAAUGACGGUAUCCGGAGAAGAAGCCCCGGCGAACUUCG
rnacentral:rRNA from 1 species